GAUGAACGCUGGCGGCGUGCCUAUUACAUGCAAGUCGAGCGAACAGACGAGGAGCUUGCUCCUCUGACGUUCGCGGCGGACGGGGGAGUAACACGUGGAUAACCUACCUAUAAGACUGGGAUAACUUCGGGAAACCGGAGCUAAUACCGGAUAACAUGUUGAACCGCAUGGUUCAACAGUGAAAGACGGUCUUGCUGUCACUUAUAGUUGGAUCCGCGCCGCAUUAGAUAGUUGGUAAGGUAACGGCUUACCAAGGCAACGAUGCGUAGCCGACCUGAGAGGGUGAUCGGCCACACUGGAACUGAGACACGGUCCAGACUCCUACGGGAGGCAGCAGUAGGGAAUCUUCCGCAAUGGGCGAAAGCCUGACGGAGCAACGCCGCGUGAGUGAAGAAGGUCUUCGGAUCGUAAAACUCUGUUAUUAGGGAAGAACAAAUGUGUAAGUAACUAUGCACGUCCUGACGGUACCUAAUCAGAAAGCCACGGCUAACUACGUG
rnacentral:rRNA from 1 species